GCAAGUCGAGCGAGAAGAUUAUGAUGGAACCUUCGGGUGAAAGAUUAAUUGGAAAGCGGCGGACGGGUGAGUAACGCGUGGGCAACCUGCCCUGUAUAAAGGGAUAGCCACUGGAAACGGUGAUUAAUACCUUAUAAGACUACAGAAACACAUGUUUCAGUAGCCAAAGCUCCGGCGAUACAGGAUGGGCCCGCGUUUGAUUAGCUAGUUGGUGAGGUAAUGGCUCACCAAGGCAAUGACACAUAGCGGGUUUGAGAGGAUGAUC
rnacentral:rRNA from 1 species